UAUUUUCCUUUUUUGCCAGCCGCCGCGGUAAUACGUAGGGGGCAAGCGUUAUCCGGAUUUACUGGGUGUAAAGGGAGCGUAGACGGCACGGCAAGCCAGAUGUGAAAGCCCGGGGCUCAACCCCGGGACUGCAUUUGGAACUGCUGAGCUAGAGUGUCGGAGAGGCAAGUGGAAUUCCUAGUGUAGCGGUGAAAUGCGUAGAUAUUAGGAGGAACACCAGUGGCGAAGGCGGCUUGCUGGACGAUGACUGACGUUGAGGCUCGAAAGCGUGGGGAGCAAACAGG
rnacentral:rRNA from 1 species